UAAACCGAUUGUCCGCGGUUUAC
rnacentral:siRNA from 1 species